ACAGGACUGCUCCCGGCUGAUGGGUUAAGAGGUGGGCUACCACGCAGAAGCCAACCCGAGAGCGGAGGGAUCCUGGUCAUGGUCACCGCUGCUCCCCUACCUGUGAAGAGAAAGAGCACCGAGUGAGCCGCUGAAAACCAGAAAACCGAAAUGCUCUGCUUUUGGAGAACUUCUCACGUAGCAGUACUCUUGAUCUGGGGGGUCUUCGCGGCUGGUGAGUCUGAAUUUUCUCUAGGUGAAUGGCUAAGGGAGACCCGUUCUGUGCAGCAUUCAAGACUUGCCCCUUUUCGCUGGGCAACGCAAGUCAGUUUCUGUUGUAGAGACGAGCAUUCCUCCAGAUAUGGGGCUAUCUCAUCACCCCUACUUUCUGCUUUGUCUGAUUUAUUUUGCUUCGUGUUC
rnacentral:lncRNA from 1 species